rnacentral:lncRNA from 1 species
CCCCCUUUUUACAUCUGUAAAUUACUCAAAUCAUCGUUUUGCAUUCAUUAUAAAAUCAUAGAUAAAAUUAUAUUAAUUGUGUGGCAAACUUCUUUUAGUUGUGGCAAACUUCGUGGUGUCCAUACAAUAAAAUUUUAAGAAAAAAAUAACCUAUUUCCUCCUUUAAGUUUAAAUAAUUUCAUUUCACUUGUUUUUUAUCGUUGGAAGAUUAAUACAAUUUAUUGUUUCCCAAAUCAAUAUUUUAUGUAC